CCAUUGCCCACGAAGCCUGCAAGCACGCCCCUCUCGUUUCGUCUCUCUUUCCCCGACCUCCCCUCGCCGCCGCCGCCACUAUCAACGCCAACCUCCAGCGAUGGCGUUCCUCUCUCACCCGAGCGACGAAAGGCACCCCCGCUGGUAGGUACACAUCAGACACGCACGAGGGGCCGGCCGACCGUAAGAACAAGAAGGCGAUGGUGGACGAGUCGCCGCCGCCGACGCACGUCCCAAACCAGUGGGUCGCCUUCUGCACCGACCACUCCUGGUCGCAGCGCGUGCACGGCGUUCUCCUACAUCUCAAUGACACGGGCAUCGCGGCCUUGCUGAGGAAGGUUGGAGGCGGCGCACAUGGCUAGGUAGCUCAUGAGGGUCCGAUGGGGUGAGCAGCGAGGGCGGCUAGGAGGAGAGCUCGAGACAAGCAACAUUGGAGGAAUCAUGGCGAUUAUCUCCAUGGUGCAGGGACUCCUAAUCAUCCCUCCCCUGUUCUUCUUGCUUCAGGGACUACCAUUGGGCAGCCUCUUCUUCUCCAUGGUGCUCCAGCAACUGCACAAAGAGGUCAGUUAUCUCGAUUGGUGCCACACAACUCAGGCCGGAGAUGAUGGAAGGAUCUGCACAAGAGGACGUAUCUCUGGACAACCACCAAGUGUUCUCCGUGCUAUGCUACUGCAUGAAUCGCCUCCUGGCCAGGUAACAGUUACACUGUAAAUCUGAAAUGCAUAAGGAGCACUAAGCAUAAGACAUUAGGGAUGAUUAGGGUUGGUUUGUUCCGUGUUAAGAAAGUAAGGUUUGUCUUUUGGUUUGGCAUAUGCUUCUCAGGUGGUUUUAUCUGCCCAAACAGGGCGCUUAUAUUGUUAAUUGAGAUCACUCCUCCAAGAAGACAAGAAACUAAAUUUAUGUGUCAAAAAUCAAAUGCUAGCUCUUGAGUUAUUCUCUACCAGCCUGCAUAUCCACUCCUUUGUAGUAUGUUCUAAUGCACCAUGGUUAUCACUUAGUUGAACUUGCUAUUUUAGUGAUAUAAUUUUUUCAAAUAUAACUUUGUUUAUCAAGCUGACCAAAUUUCUCUUAUUUAUUGCACUUCUUCUCUUUUUUCUAAAGAACAUAACUAAUAUAAUUUGAUUGCCCGUUCUUCAAGUUUUGAGCAUAAUUGGGUUCUGACUGUGAGAGUAUCAUUUACAAUUUAAAAGGAGGUACCACACACAACUAGAAAUAUACAGCGAAUUCGCUCAGUCUGUGUCACACGACAUCCAUCCCAUCGGUCACGAUAGACACAAGACUACCCCGCAGAUGGAUGUUGCAGCCAGUGGCCAUGACGAGGCUUAUGCCUGCGCGGAGGUGCAGUACCGGAUGCUGAGAGAAAAUGUUACCCACCCGGCUACGAGGAUAACUGGGAGGAGGAAGAACCGAGCCACAUGGGUAACUCGAAGGGAAAAAAAUCAGUGGCGCAACCGUCCAUUUUCUCAUGCCUCCCCUUCUACAGAUACACAACCACUGCCCUUGCUGCUUCUCAACUCCACCUUUGUCCUUGGCACCAUCGGAUUCAUGGAGCAACAAACAUGAUGCUUAGAAUGCUUGGGAGAUUCAUGGAGCAACAAACAUGACAUGAUCAAAUCAAACCAUUUAAUUCGAGACAAGGAUUGCUGAGUACAAAGGAUUGUAAUUUUGGCCUUCUGUACUAUUGAUGUGCGUAUUUUAUCAAUUUUCAGUGUUUAAAUUUGUUAUGUUGUGCUAUCUGGUGGAAUCUAGAAUGUGAGCAGUUGGGCACUGAUAAUAGGAACAGGAAUGGUUUUGCCGAUGAAGCAUUUUUAUAUUUGUUUUGAUACCAUGUAAUGUAAGCGCAGUUUCAGAUUGAAGAAUGUUAUUCUAAGAGGCUAUAUGGUCUAAUGAUAUGUCCAAUAACUUCA